CUUUACAAUUAAAGCCCCUCUUCAUGUUUCAAAUGUUCAAGUUAUUGAUCCAGUCACAGGGAAGCCUUGUAAAAUUGGGAUUAAGUAUCUUGAAGAUGGAACCAAAGUAAGAGUAUCCAGAGGCCGUGCAUCAGGAUCCAUUACUCCUCGUCCUGAGAUAUUGAAGAUAAGGACUACGCCAAGGCCUACAGUUGGCAUUUGAGCAUGGAUUCACUUCCUCAAUUUUGCAUGGAGGGCUUUCUCCUGAUUUGAACAACUUGAACCAGAUAAGAAUGAUACAAAGGCCUACUGAUGUACCAGAACAUGGCUUGUUGUGUGAUCCUCUAUGGUCUGAUCCUAGCAAAGACAUUCAAGGUCUGAUCUGCAGAGCUCAUCAGGUUGUGGAAGAUGGAUAUGAGUUCUUUGCUAACCGAAAACGUGUGACGCUAUUCUCAGCACCUAACUACUAUAGCGAGUUUGAAAACAACUUAUGGAACAUGAUUAAAGUACAUUAUAUGUUCUGUAUAUCAUACAAUAUUUGGAGCAUAUAUGUUUUUUGGUAGAUCUUUUGC